UCAAGUAACCUUUCUGGAGGGGUCCAGAGCAAAGGAGGUGACUGCAGAAGAACUGGUUGCUGCCUAUUUGACAGAGGGGCUGAUUUGUGUAGCCAAGCUCACUGUGGUUGAAGCCAUUGCUGCCUUACUGCCUGGUGGUGCUGGGUCUUUAACCUCAGAUGGUAUGCUGGUCAUGUCUAUGGAUCCUACUUCUACCCAUGGCUUUGCAAAUGUGUCUGAUUAAUAAAAUAAUAACUGCAGUUAAAUUGCAGUAUGUCAGUAUGCUGUAGUUCCCAGAUAGUCCGCAGAAUUGUUUCCUGACAGGCAGCUCUCAAAAACUAGGGCUGGGGAGGAUGGUGGCAGCAGCUGAUGGCAUGAAUGCAUUCUGAACUGUAAAUGGGAUGGAUGUUCUGCCACUUGCUCCUUCCAGCCAAUGCCCAUGGUCUUAUCAGCUCUGAGCUGCUGGUUUUGGAGAAAGAAUUGCCCAGGAUUACUUGGUAGACAAGCAGUUGUAUCUCUGUCUCCUGAAAUUAAUGCUUCUGAGGAGUUUGGCUGGAAAUCUCAGGGUGCAGGGCUAUAGGCUGAACUUUGUCCUGCUUGUAGCUAAGUGUUGUGGUCUACUACAGCCUUAGGACCUGAGCAGAGGUGAGCUUAGCAAAUAGAGCUUGUUACCUUCCAAGUUAAGGAACGCUGCACUAACACAAUGUGCAAGAAACUUCUAAAUCUGAUAUAGUCUGUGGUUCAUGUCAUGAACUAUUAAAAAAUCUGUCAACAGGGCAGAAAAUUACUUGCUGGAAUCUUCUUUUUUCUACUCUAGAAAGCAAGAAAAUUACAGUGGGGGGGAAAAAGGGGGGCAAUGCAGCCAGAAAUAUGUAUGGUAAAAAUGCAGGUUUUGAUGAGAAGCAUAUAAGGAGAUUUGUCACCACAGACUUUAAAGCAUGAGAUCAGUCUUAUCACAAACUCUUGUCUUUGUAUGGGUUUUUUGUGUGUGUUGUUUUUGCUCUGUUAAAAAUUAGAGAUGCUAAUGCAUCUAAUUCCUGAA